UCAGGGGGAGACAAUGGGAGCUGCGGAUGCUGGAGAGUGUGAGAUAACAAGCUGUGGAGCUGGAUGGACACAGCAGGACAAGCAGCAUCUCAGGGGCACAAAAGCUGGUGUUUCGGGCCUCGACCCUUCUUCAUAAAAGGGGGAUGGGGCGAGCAAUGGGAGGGGGAGUGUUUAGUGCGAACCGAACAUGGGUGAUCUGCAAAGUUGUGACCAAGACUCCGCUUGGUUUCUCCGGUGUAGCGGAGCCACAAUGGGAACAGUGGAUGCAGUCUACCACAUUAGCUGAUGUGCGGCCUUUGAUCGAGAUGAGUGGGGGGGAGAGGGAGGGGUAGGGGCAGGUGGAGCACUUUAUGCGGUUACAGGGAAAAGUGCCGGGUGUGGUGGGGCUGGAGGAGAGUGUGGAGUGGACAAGAGAGGCUCGGAGAGAGUAGUCCAUCCGGAAAGCAGACAAGGGAUGGGACGGGGUGUGAGGGAUGAGUUGUGCAAAAUGUGGGAGACGCGUUCGAGGGAGUUCUCAACCACUGAGUCGGGGGACGUUGCGGUCCUUGAAAAAUGAGGACAUCUGAGAUGUACAGGGGCGGAAUUCCUCAUCCUGGGAGCAGUUGCAGCGGGAUUGGGAAUAGAGAAUGGCAUAUUUGCACGAAGGUGGGUGGGAGGAGUUGUAUUCCAGGUAGCUGUGGGAGUCAGUGGGCUUGAAAUGGAUAUUGGUUUCUGGGUGGUUGAAGGAGAUGGAGACAGAGAGGUCCAGGAAGGAGGGAGAGACAUUACAGAUGGUCCAGGUGAACUUAAGGGUUGGGCGGAAGGUGUCAGUGAAGUGGAUGAACUGUUUGAGCUCCUCGUGGAUGCAUGAGGUGGCGUCGAUGUAGCCAUCACUGUAACGGAAGAAGAGGUGGAGUUUAGGGCCUGUGUAAGUAUGGAAGAGGGAUUGUUCCACAUAACCUACAAAGACGCAGGCCCAGCUUGGGUCCCUGCAGGUAUCCAUGGCCACCCCUUUUGUAGGUAGUGGGAGGAAUUGAAAGAGAAGUUGUUAAGGGUGAGGGCAAGUUUGGCUAGGCGGAUGAGGGUGUCAGCGGAGGGGGACUGGUUGGGCCUGCGGGAUAGGAAGAAGCGGAUGGCCUUUAGGCCAUCUGUAUGGGGAAUGCGGGUGUAUUGGGACUGGACGUGCAUGGUAAAGAUGUGUUGGGGCUGGGGAAUUGUAAGUUUUGUAGGAGAUGGAGAGCGUGGGUGGUGUCACAGAUGUAGGUAGGGAGUUCCUGGGCUAAGGGUGAAAAAAUGAAUUCCAGUUAGGUGGAGAUAAGUUCAGUGGGGCAGGAGCAGGCAGAGAUAAUGGGUCAACCAGGGCAGGCAGGUUUGUGGAUUUUGGGAAGGAGAUAGAAGCGGCCGUUGCAGGGUUGGGGAAUGAUGAGGUUGGAAGCUGUGGGUGGGAGGUCAUCUGAGGUGAUGAGGUUGUGGAUGGUUUGGGACAUGAUGGUUUGGUGGUCGGGUGUGGGGUCAUGAUUAAGAGGGCAGUAGGAGGUUCUGUUGGAGAGUUGGCAUGUAACCUCAGUGUUGUAGAGGUCAGUGAGUCAUACUACAACUGCGACUUCCUUGUCCAUGGGUUUUAUGGUGAGGUUGGGAUUGGAGUGGAGGGCUGCACGUUCUGCAGGGAAGAGGUUGGAGUGAGUGCGAGGGGUGGAGAAGUUGAGGCGUUUGAUGUCACGGUGGCACUUGGCGAUGAAGAGGUCGAGGGAGGGUCGGAGACCUUGGGAUGGUGCCCAGGAGGAGGGAGUGCAUUAGAGCUGAAUGAAGGGGUCAGCAGACGGAGUGUUAGGCUGACGGUUAGAGAAGUAAGCAUGGAGGGAGAAGCAAUGGAAAAACUACUGAACGUCCAAGCAUAACCGGUAUUGAUUGAUGUGUGGGUGCAGGGGGACAAGGGUGAGCCCCUUACUGAGGACUGAUCAUUUGUCCUCAGUAAGGGGGAGGUCUGUGGGGAUGGUGAAGACUCGACAGGGCUCAGUGUUUCUGUCUCCUCUGGAGCUGCUGGCUGUGCUGGCUGUGGACAUCGGAGAUGGUUGUGUGUCGAGUUGCGUCAGCAGUGGGCAGAGUUGCAUUGGCAUGGGCGGAGUUGCAUCGGUGGUGGGCGGAGCGCCGUUUGCAUUGGUGGUGGGAGGAGCGGGGUCGGAGGAGGCAGCAGCGGUGAUGGUCGGUGUGCUCUCAGUGUCUGUGGUGUUGGACUCGGAAAUGGCGGCUGUGGCAUUUGCUGUCCCGGAAACGGUGUAUCCGGCGGUGGAGGAUGUGAAGUCAUCCCUGGUUGCUCCGACAGUGGCCACAUGGCCAAUGCUGCGGGCACAUUGUGGGGGAGUUCUUGGGUAGGGUUGGGAAUUUGGGAGGUGUAGGCUGCCCGUUUUGGAAGGUAGGCACCAGGAAGUUUACUGUACUUACGGUUUUUUGUGUCCACCAGAGCUAAGUAGAAUUGUGAGUUCAGGUUCUGGAUCCUAUGAAGAAUAAAAAACAGGAGAGGUCCUUUGUAGGUUUGAGAGAGGGAGGCUCUGAGAUGAGGUAGGCUGGAUUGCAGUGCCUGGAGAUGCUGUCGCAUUGCUGCGAGUAUGUGUUUCAGGAGUCGCUGGGAGAAACACUUCUGAAGUGUUGUAAUGUUCUGGAUGUAGACAUUGUCACGUUUGGGGCCAAGUUGGGAAGGCUUGAACGUGGACUGUAGUCCAAUGGGGAUGAUCUGGUUCCAUAGGCAGGUACAAAGGAAGGUGAUGUGGCUGUAGUACCUGGUUUGCUGCAGGAUGUGGUCGAGCAGUCUCAUGGCUGAAGAGGGCAGUUUUUGGACACUUUUCCAGAGUAACGGUGAAACUGCAUUCGGCUGUGUGCAUGAUGAAAUCCGAAGCCAUCCAGAAAUGAUUGACUGAAGUGAUUCCUUCGAGAAGUAUUUAUCUUCAGAGCAAAUCAUGACCAGACUGGCCCUGGAUUUAUUGAACUUCAGGCGAAUGAAACAUGAUCUUGUUUAAACGCAAAAUAUUCUGAGCAGUCUUUUCAAGUUGAGUGCUGAAACAUGAUUUCCAUGUGUGCAAGAGAUUAACACCACAAGAUGGACCGUUAAACUGGAGAAUAUGUCAGUUAGACAAUGGUGGCUUAUUUCUUUUACACUUUCAAAGGAUUGUGUGUUGAUGGAAGUCUUUCCAGAGAGACAUGGAGGAUACAUCAUUGAAUAUUCUUAAGAGAGAGGCAGACAGACUCUUGACUAACAAUAACACACCAAUGUUAUAAGGGGUGGAGAGGAAUGUUUAUUUGAGGCCACAUCAUUCAAGAGCUCACCGCAUGCCAGGCUUGGUUUGAUUUUUCUAAUCACUUACUCCUGAUCCAAGUUUUCACAUGGCCACGAAGGCGCUGCCUUUCAGAAUGAUGUGUACAACUUGCAAAUACGAUUUUUGAACAACACUAUGAAAAUACUCAGGAAAGUUUCAUGGUUUUUCAGCAAGAUCAGAGACAUAGAACAAAGUUAAAAUCUCAAUAAACCUGCUUUAGUGAACAGAUUGGGCUGAAUAUAUGUCCUUCAUAGUACAGAUUACUUUUAUUUGUACUGUUGAGAUGACUUUUGUUGGCAAGACCAGCAAUUAUUGCAUAUGUCUAAUUUCCAUUCAGAAUAUGAUGGUGAAACCCAGGGACACUAAUAUAUGUUUCAUGGAGAUGUUCAGGAUUCUGAAGAAGUGUCAGUGUAUGGACAAUGAUAUAGAUUCAAGCCAGGAUGCUGUCUGGUCUUGGAGAUUGUAAUCAUCAUCACUUGAUGCUCACAACAUAUGGAAAUUGUGAUCAGAGAUAAUGGGAACUGCAGAUGCUGGAGAAUCCAAGAUACCAAAGUGUGAAGCUGGAUGAACACAGCUGGCCAAACAGGCUCUCUGGAGCUCAAAAGCUGACAUAUUAUGGAAAUUGUGAGACUGUUUUUUCUGUUUUCAAAAAUUAAGGUCAGAGAGCAAUUCAGCAUAAAAACAGGACCUUCAGCUCAACAUGUCUGUUCCAAUAAAAAAAACAAAACUAAAUUAAUCACACUUACCUUGACGUCGACACCCACUAGGCAUGGCAUUUUGAGUGCUCCUCCAGCUGCUUCAAAAAAUGCUACGUUGUCUUUAAUUAUCUGUGACUUGAGCUGUGAUUUGGCUUUUUCUUUCACGUUAUGCAUGAACUGCAUUUUGCAAAUAUAUCCCACAACAUCAAAUACAGCAAUUAGCUCUAUAGAUCAAUAUUUUUUCUGGAAAAUCAGACUUUCGUUUUCAUUCAUUUGGGAUUUUAGUGGAGCUAGACCGGCAGUAUUUGACCUUGAAAACUUCCAGCUAGAAGUUCACCAAAUUGGAAAUGUAGUGAACACUGGAAAAGGUUACUUCAGAGUAAAAUGGGAUCUUGAUCAGAUGGGACAAUGGACCAAGGAAUGGUGGACCUUUUGGAUUGCCUCCUGUUGGAGAUAAUUCCUGCCCGGCAACACUGACAGCACUAACAGGGAUCGGCAGCUGCAGAGAGAGGGGGCAGAGAGAUCAGAAUCUGAGAACAAUGGACUGAAGUGUUACAACAAUGGAUCAGAAUCUGAGAACAAUAGACUGGAAUGUUACAACAAUGGAUCAGAAUCUGAGAACAAUAGACUGGAAUGUUACAACAAUGGAUCAGAAUCUGAGAACAAUAGACUGGAAUGUUACAACAAUGGAUCAGAAUCUGAGAACAAUAGACUGGAAUGUUACAACAAUGGAUCAGAAUCUGAGAACAAUAGACUGGAAUGUUACAACAAUGGAUCAGAAUCUGAGAACAAUAGACUGGAAUGUUACAACAAUGGGCAGGGGUUUAUCCUCAGGUCUUAUUUAUCUUGCCGCAUCUUGGUCAACGUUGCCACUUCGAAUAGAAGGUGUACUGAUGAUUGUUCAGGCUGGUUACUAUCCCAUUCUCGCUGUUGUUGGUGUUCCUGGUAAGCCUUACUAUCUCUGUCCAGUCACUACUGCCGCAAGGCAUAUACAACUUUGUUGCCGUUUCUGUUACCUGUAUUUGGAAAAGAUUUAAACAAUUAUCUUCAGUUUCAAUUAAAACCUCGCUUUAUUGUC